UACAGAGGUGGCAAGCGUUGUUCGGAAUCACUGGGCGUAAAGCGCACGUAGGCGGAUGUGCCAGUCAGGGGUGAAAUCCCCGGCUCAACCUGGGACUUGCAGUUGAAACUGGGAAGCUAGAGUAGGGUAGAGGGUGUGGAAUUCCAGGUGUAGCGGUGAAAUGCGUAGAUAUCUGGAGGAACAUCAGUGGCGAAGGCGACACCCUGGACUCAUACUGACACUGAGGUGCGAAAGCGUGGGGAGCAAACAGG
rnacentral:rRNA from 1 species